rnacentral:pre_miRNA from 1 species
CAACUACUCCCUCUGUCCCAAAUUUCUUGUCUUAGAUUUGUCUAUAUACGGAUGUAUCUAAUACUAAAAUGUGACUUGAUAUAUCCGUAUCUAGACAAAUCUAAGACAAGAAUUUUGGGACGGAGGGAGUACUUU